GGGGAAUUGUUCACAAUGGGCGCAAGCCUGAUGACGCAACGCCGCGUGGAGGAUGAAGGUCUUCGGAUUGUAAACUCCUGUUGCCAGGGCCGAAUGGCUCCGGCCUAAUACGUCGGAGAAUGACGGUACCUGGUGAGGAAGCCCCGGCUAACGCUGUGCCCGCAGCCGCGGUAAUACAGGGGGGGCAAGCGUUGUUCGGAAUUACUGGGCGUAAAGGGCGCGUAGGCGGCCUCUUAAGUCGAACGUGAAAUCCCCGGGCUCAACCCGGGAACUGCGUCCGAUACUGGGAGGCUUGAAUCCGGGAGAGGGAUGUGGAAUUCCAGGUGUAGCGGUGAAAUGCGUAGAUAUCUGGAGGAACACCGGUGGCGAAGGCGGCAUCCUGGACCAACACUGACGCUGAGGAGCGAAAGCCAGGGGAGCAAAC
rnacentral:rRNA from 1 species